AAUUACAAAACUUUGAACCAGUAUAAAUUAACGAGGGAGCUAGUUAGAUUUAAAACCCUCAUGUUAUCUAAUAAGCAGAUACAAAGCGAAAAAUUGGGUUUCAGAUACAACUUCAUAAAUCAUUGGAACAUUAAAACAGGGAGAGAUACCAAACCCUAUGGGUGCAUUUUCAAAACCUAAAUAUCUACAACCCAUGUUCAAAACGGCUUGGUCAACGAAAGUUGGUCAUUUUUCAAAAUGUCAAAGUAAAGUUUAGGAUUUUUAUGGCAUUUUAAAAGUUUAUGCUUUGUUCGUCCCAAAUUUGAAAGUUCACGAUUUUUUCGACAUUUUUUCCAAAAAUGAAUUGAAAAUUACAUAUUUAAAUUAGGCUUUAAUUUCUUUGCCAUUUUGAUUUAAGCUUGCACCACAAGUCUUUAAUUUGUUCUAUU
rnacentral:sRNA from 1 species